rnacentral:rRNA from 1 species
GUGUCAGCAGCCGCGGUAAUACGAAGGGGGCUAGCGUUGUUCGGAAUUACUGGGCGUAAAGCGCACGUAGGCGGAUCGAUUAGUCAGGGGUGAAAGCCCAGAGCUCAACUCUGGAACUGCCUUUGAUACUGUCGAUCUGGAGCAGAGUAGAGGUGAGUGGAAUUCCGAGUGUAGAGGUGAAAUUCGUAGAUAUUCGGAGGAACACCAGUGGCGAAGGCGGCUCACUGGACUCUUGCUGACGCUGAGGUGCGAAAGCGUGGGGAGCAAACAGGAUUAGAUACCCGGGUAGUCC